AGGCAUUCAGGCAGCGAGAGCAGAGCAGCGUAGAGCAGCACAGCUGAGCUCGUGAGGCAGGAGACUCAGCCCGAGGAAAUCGCAGAUAAGUUUUUAAUUAAAAAGAUUGAGCAGUAAAAAGAAUUAGAACUCUAAACUUAAGCUAAUAGAGUAGCUUAUCGAAAUAUUACUUAGUCUUAAUAAUCUAAGAAGAUCUUAAGAGAUAACAUGAAGGCUUAUUUAAACAGUUUGAAAAAGGAAAUGAGGAGAAAAGUAUUUGUACUGUAUAAUGGAGGCUGACCAGAGCAGUUUAGGAGAUUGUAAAGGGAGGCAGAGGCAGGCGGAUUUCUGAGUUCGAGGCCAGCCUGGUCUACAGAGUGAGUUCCAGGACAGCCAGGGCUACACAGAGAAACCCUGUCUUGAAAAAACAAAAAGGUUAGGCUAGUAUUUGGAGAAAGAAGAUUAGAAAAUGGAAGUGAAAGACGAAGAAGACAUACAGGAAGGUGAAGAAAAAGCUGUUAGAGAAGAUAGGAAAAUAGAAGACAAAGCAUCUUUAGAAGACAGAAAAGGUACUUAAAGGCACAGGUAGUAGGAAGCCGAAGAAUAGAAGAUAGAAAGAAGCAA
rnacentral:lncRNA from 1 species